rnacentral:rRNA from 1 species
UGAUCAUAUUCUUCGGUUAAAGACUAAGCCAUGCAUGUGUAAGAACAUCGAGUUUAUUAGAAAUCUGCGUAUGGCUCAUUAAAUGAAUCAUAACUUAUCCCAGCAAAAUUUUGACAACUGGCUAACCGUUGUAAUUCAAGGGCUAAUCAUGCAUCGAAGCUGGUCUCUUUUGAGGCUAGUGCAUUUGUUAGUUACAAACCAACAUCUUUACAGAUGAGUCAUGACAAAUUGCGGAUCCUCAUGUUGUAAAAAACGGAGGACGACUGGGUCAGGUCUUUCCCCUAUCAGUUUUCGUAGGAAAUGUAUUGAAUUUUCUAGACUUUGACGGGUAACGAAAAAUGAGGGUUUGAUUUCGGAGAAGGAGCCUGAGAGACGGCUACUACAUCUAAGGAAGGCAGCAGGCGCGCAAAUUUCCCAAUGCUCAUUGAGCGAGGAAGUGACGACCAAUAACAAUGUGCGACUCUUUAUGGGUUGUGCAAUUGGAAUGACUACAAUUUAAAGAGUUUAAGAAGGAUCAAUUG